AGUGAACGCUGGCGGUAGGCCUAACACAUGCAAGUCGAACGGCAGCACAGUAAGAGCUUGCUCUUACGGGUGGCGAGUGGCGGACGGGUGAGGAAUACAUCGGAAUCUACUUUUUCGUGGGGGAUAACGUAGGGAAACUUACGCUAUUACCGCAUACGACCUACGGGUGAAAGCAGGGGAUCUUCGGACCUUGCGCGAUUGAAUGAGCCGAUGUCGGAUUAGCUAGUUGGCGGGGUAAAGGCCCACCAAGGCGACGAUCCGUAGCUGGUCUGAGAGGAUGAUCAGCCACACGGGAACUGAGACACGGUCCAGACUCCUACGGGAGGCAGCAGUGGGGAAUAUUGGACAAUGGGCGAAAGCCUGAUCCAGCCAUACCGCGUGGGUCGAGAAGGCCCUCGGGUUGUAAAGCCCAUUUGUUUGGAAAGAAAAGCCGCAGGGUAAUACCCCGCUGUUCUGACGGUACCCAAAGAAUAAGCACCGGCUAACUUCGUG
rnacentral:rRNA from 1 species